UUCCUGUAGUUCAGGCACGGGAACAACACAGCAUUAUUUCUGAAGACAAAAGCAAUCCUUAUUGAGCCAAUCAACAUAAUGCCUUGCUUUGAAUGGUAAGAAGAGAAUGAAUGUUAUUAUAUUCUCCUUAGUGAGAAUGGCUUCUUUCUGGCUGACGGCUGUGAUUCUCUGUAACCUGGCUGAGAGGAAGAGGUACAUUCUGAGCUGAUUUUUGCAUAGCCUUGGAUGUACGGGUCUUCUGUAAGGACUGGGCUAGCUGGAAAGCUCGGGUGUAAUUCAAUUACAGCUUUUCUAAUGGGAUUCUCCAGGAUGAGCGAGGGAAUAUCAAUACUGCUAAAGGUUUAGGUUUUGUGGGGGGGAGAAAUGUUCAAAAGGGCGGCUCUGAGAAUGAACUGAUCUAGAUCUGAGAUUCUAGAGGCUGUCUGACCCUGAGGGGAAGCCCUGGGCAAACGCUUGAGUAAAUUCUCCCUCUAACCUCUGCAGAAGAUGGCUCGGGGCCUGCUUUUGUUGAAUGAAAUGGAACACAGCUCUCCUCUAAAUGACAUCGAAUUAAGACUAAUUAUUUAAAAGAAAAUGGCGAACACAGUACCUGGCUUUAGGGCAAGCUGCUAACAGAAUCCUCCAAUUGCUGUGCACCCUUGUUUUUAAAUCUAAUUUUAGUAGAGAAAACCACAGAUUGGCUCUUGAGAUAGUUUCAGCUCAUAAAACAGCAGGAUUGCAAAACCUGAAAUUCAUCUGCAGGAGAAACUCUAAUCAUUUUCUGAUCACUUCUGCUGGUUGGAAAAGCAAAAGCAAAUGUUGCCUGGGGACGAUUAAAGCAAUAAAAGAAAAUCCACUUAAUCUACUUUAAAUGUCAUCUCUCUCUUUUUCAGAGCAGGUAACUCCGUGGUGAACAUAAUUAGUUGCUGGAGGAUAAAACAGCCACACGCGGGUCCAGCCAUCAGGAAGUCUCGGGGUCUGAUGGAGGGCUCCGCUCAGACGUCAGUGCCCCCGCCCUCCAGAGCCUCCCAGACCCUGCUGUUCCUACACCUGGGGGCCACGGUCUGUGUUCCAGGAUCAGCAGCCCAGGCCCACUGCGAGGCUUGUGCGAUCACACGGCACAGGGUCCGUCCGGGGGCUCUGGAGGGCACGUUAGAGCAAAACAAACUUUUUUUGCCAUAGACCAUCAAGUGGUGUUGGCUGUGAUCACAACAUCUGGCCUCAGAACCCAAAGCUUGGCAAACUGAGCCUCGGAGGAUUCCAGUGGCUCCUUUAUGUUAACAACUCCAGCACACAGCAGGACUGAAAAGACUGGUAUGAGAUACGUUGGAGUCCCUGAAUCCCAAAGAGCUUUCCCUGCACUGGGCACAGAGCUCUUUCCGAGGGACCACGAGGACAGAGGGCUCCUGACCUCAAGGGCAUAGGGCUUAAACAAAGGGCUUAAACCAGAAGAGAGGACUGAAGGCACAUGUCCGUGCUUUUCAACAGAUUUACGUUGGGAACGUCUGCACCCAAGUGGCCAGCGCUUCUCUCAGGUAUAAAAUUGGGAGCGGGGGCGGGCAGAGGCGUGGAGAAAUCACCCCUCAUUCCACAGCUUAGCGCUACGGCCCGCUUGCAAGUCCUGCUUGCUUCUCGUCUGGACCGUAACAAUGGGGCCUGGAAGGAAACCCAGCCUGCCCAUCCCUGGCCUGUGGUGGAGGCUGAGUCUGCACGGGGAGUGGGGGGGGGGGGGGGGGUUCUGCUUGGUGUAGCGCUGCCUCGUGGCCUCACCAGCUCCCUGCUGCUUCCCUGUGGUCUACCCCUUAUGCCAGACUCAUCUUCCUAAAGCCCAGCGCUGACGUUUCUCCUCCCUUCUCUUGGUAAGUGUUAAAUGGCUCUCCUGCCACAUGGAUUCCAAACUCCUCAUCAGGCCAUGAGGUUAUCUGCAGGGCCUGCCUGGCGGGCCGGCCUGAAGCCUGGGAUGCCUGUAACCUGCAGAGCCAGGCCUGCCGUGGACGAGGGGCCCCUGUGUUCCCUCCACCUGGCAGCCUGGCUCCUGUCUUUCUCAGGUUGCACUGGCAUGACUGGCCCAUUCACUGUUCCUAGCACCUUUCUUAAGGAUGUACCUUCGAGAGUUCUUCUGCCCUUUCCCUUAACCUCUGUCAGGCAAACACCUCAAAACGUGGGCUGAAAAGCAUGUUCCCUGAGCAAAGCCGCCCAGAGCCCUCCGCCUGGAGCCCUCCUACAGCACUUCCCACAGCCCCUGUCCUCCUCCUACAUCUGCUCUAUGCACGCUGGUUGUACUUACGGACGAAUUCCUCUGAUUUCCCAAAGUUCUUGGAGAUGAGAGUAUUUUUGUCAUCCUCAGAACUUCUUUGACCCUCAGGGCACUGCCCUGAACGUGGAAGCUACUCAAUUCAUAUUUGCUGAAGAGAGGAAGGUAUGUUUUCUGGUAGAGCAAGAGGAUGAAGCCAGUUCCUAACAGAAGCCCACCUCGCAGAAUAGUGCUGCCACAUUCCAACUAAACGUGGCUAAAGGCCUCUGAGGAGACGAAAGGGUCGGCCUCCCUGUGCUGACUGCCACCAGGUUGCAAAAGAAAUCAUCUUUCCCCUGUGUUGGCACAGGAAAGAAAGUCCUUAAACUGAUCACACUAUGACGCGACACUAUCUCUUCGCUCGUCUGCCUUUUCAUCACAUCGCUCAUGCUGAACGGAAAGCAAGCAUCAAAGGAGCAGACCUCCUCGCCGCCCCCUCCAAAAUUCCGCAGCCUUUGUUGUGGCUGGAGCUGGGUGGGUAUUGAGCUUUGCAGACCUGCUGGGCCUGGAAAGUGAAAACACCCUCCCGAGCCAGCAGGGGUGGUGCUGCGGGCCCGGUAGAUGGGCCCCGCGCACAGAAAGGCCCGGCGGUUGCCAUGGCGCCCUGACACCAAGAUCAUGCCUUAUGAAUGUCACCGGGGCCUGUGACUAAAGUUGUUUAUGAGGCAAAAGUCUCAUGAAACGGAGGGAGGAAACGAUGACCGCCGCUCGCCAGGCUGUGGGAAAGGAGGAGGUGGCGGCGUCAAGGCUGACGUGCUCCCCCCCUCGGUUUGCUAAGGAAGACUGUCUUUAAAUACGACAUGUGGAGUGAGACACGCCGAACAGGGUGACGUUUCAUUCGUCACUGUGCAUGAGACAGCGAGGAAGAAGGAGUCUUUUAAAUCGUAUACCGUCCGGCGGUACUUCUAAAAUACGACAAUUCUGUGCUGGGGCUCAAAAAGCAACGCCAAGCUCAGCUCCACAGGCCCCAGACGGUGCUGCCCCCUUCCUCUCACCCUGUCCUUUUCCUUU